rnacentral:rRNA from 1 species
UGGGGAAUCUUGGACAAUGGGCGCAAGCCUGAUCCAGCCAUGCCGCGUGAGUGAUGAAGGCCUUCGGGUUGUAAAGCUCUUUCAGUCGCGAAGAUAAUGACUGUAACGACAGAAGAAGCCCCGGCUAACCUCGUGCCAGCAGCCGCGGUAAUACGAGGGGGGCAAGCGUUGUUCGGAAUUACUGGGCGUAAAGCGCACGCAGGCGGUCUAAUAAGUCAGAGGUGAAAUCCCGGGGCUCAACUUCGGAAUUGCCUUUGAAACUAUUAGACUAGAGUACGGUAGAGGGUGGUGGAAUUCCUAGUGUAGAGGUGAAAUUCGUAGAUAUUAGGAGGAACACCAGUGGCGAAGGCGGCCACCUGGACCGUUACUGACGCUCAUGUGCGAAAGCGUGGGGAGCAAA